AUCGAUGAAGAACGCAGCGAAAUGCGAUAAGUAAUGUGAAUUGCAGAAUUCAGUGAAUCAUCGAAUCUUUGAACGCACCUUGCGCUCCUUGGUAUUCCGAGGAGCAUGCCUGUUUGAGUGUCAUUAAAUUCUCAACCCUUUCAGCUUUUACGAGCUGGAUUGGCUUGGAUGUGGAGGUUUGCGGGCUUCUCAGAAGUCGGCUCCUCUUAAAUGCAUUAGCGGAACCUUUGUGGACCAGCUUUGGUGUGAUAAUUAUCUACGCCAUGGUUGUGAAGCAGCUUUACAUGGGGUUCAGCUUCUAACCGUCCAUUGACUUGGACAACUUCUGACAUUUUGACCUCAAAUCAGGUAGGACUACCCGCUGAACUUAAGCAUAUCAAUAAGCGGAGGAAAAGAAACUAACAAGGAUUCCCCUAGUAACUGCGAGUGAAGCGGGAAAAGCUCAAAUUUAAAAUCUGGCGGUCCUUGUGGCUGUCCGAGUUGUAAUCUAGAGAAGUGCUAUCCGCGCUGGACCGUGUACAAGUCUCCUGGAACGGAGCGUCAUAGAGGGUGAGAAUCCCGUCUUUGACACGGACUACCAGGGCUUUGUGAUGUGCUCUCAAAGAGUCGAGUUGUUUGGGAAUGCAGCUCUAAAUGGGUGGUAAAUUCCAUCUAAAGCUAAAUAUUGGCGAGAGACCGAUAGCGAACAAGUACCGUGAGGGAAAGAUGAAAAGAACUUUGGAAAGAGAGUUAAACAGUACGUGAAAUUGUUGAAAGGGAAACGCUUGAAGUCAGUCGCGUUGUCCGGGGAUCAACCUUGCUCUUUUGCUUGGCGUACUUUCCGGUUAACGGGUCAGCAUCAAUUUUGACCGGUGGAUAAAGGUCAGGGGAAUGUGGCAUCUUCGGAUGUGUUAUAGCCCUUGGUUGCAUACAUCGGUUGGGAUUGAGGAACUCAGCACGCCGCAAGGCCGGGUCUUUGACCACGUACGUGCUUAGGAUGCUGGCAUAAUGGCUUUAAUCGACCCGUCUUGAAACACGG
rnacentral:rRNA from 1 species